CCGCGCUAGGCGGGGAGGUAGCGGUGCCCUGUAACCCGCAAUCCGCUAUAGCGGGGCUGAACUCCCGAGCUGAGGCCACGUCGCUUCGAGGUCCGGCCCAGGUAAGUGGCGAUGAAGGUCGGGUCCCACGCAACCCGACGCCGCUGAACCCCGCCAGGCCCGGAAGGGAGCAACGGUAGGCGGCUUAGGGUGUGCCGUGGGGGCGCCUGACCGGAGCUAACUGCCUGGGUAACGCUCGGGGCGGCUGGUCGAGGCCGGGUGCGCGG
rnacentral:SRP_RNA from 1 species